AUUGAACGCUAGCGGCAGGCUUUACACAUGCAAGUCGAACGAGUGGCGGACGGGUGAGUAAUGCUUGGGAACCUGGCUUAUGGAGGGGGAUAACUACGCGAAACUGUAGCUAAUACCGCGUACCAUUGGAUGAGCCCAAGUGGGAUUAGUUAGUUGGUGGGGUAAAGGCUCACCAAGGCGACGAUCCCUAGCUGGUUUGAGAGGAUGACCAGCCACACUGGGACUGAGACACGGCCCAGACUCCUACGGGAGGCAGCAGUGGGGAAUAUUGGGCAAUGGGGGAAACCUGAGGCAGCCAUGCCGCGUGAAUGAUGAAGGCCUUCGGGUUGUAAAGUACUUUUGGUAGAGAGGCGGUAACUGCAGAAGAAGCACCGGCUAACUCCGUGCCAGCAGCCGCGGUAAUAC
rnacentral:rRNA from 1 species